UACGUAGGGGGCAAGCGUUGUCCGGAAUCAUUGGGCGUAAAGCGCGUGUAGGCGGCCAGAAAAGUCCGCUGUGAAAACUCGAGGCUCAACUUCGAGCUGUCGGUGGAAACUUUCUGGCUAGAGUCCGGAAGAGGAGAAUGGAAUUCCUGGUGUAGCGGUGAAAUGCGCAGAUAUCAGGAGGAACACCGGUGGCGAAGGCGGUUCUCUGGGCCUGUUCUGACGCUGAGGCGCGAAAGCUAGGGGAGCGAACAGG
rnacentral:rRNA from 1 species